GGGGGGGGGGGGGGGCGGGGCGUGCACAUGCGAGGCGAGGGGUGACGGGGCGUGGGGUGCGGACGGGGGGCGGAGGGGGGAGGAAUACGUCGGAACGUGCCCGAUCGUGGGGGGUAACGGGGCGAAAGCUUUGCUAAUACCGCAUACGAGCUACGGAGGAAGGCGGGGGAUCUUCGGACCUCGCGCGGACGGGGCGGCCGAUGGGAGAUUAGGUAGUUGGUGGGAUAAAAGCUUACCAAGCCGACGAUCUGUAGCUGGUCUGAGAGGAUGAUCAGCCACACUGGGACUGAGACACGGCCCAGACUCCUACGGGAGGCAGCAGUGGGGAAUUUUGGACAAUGGGCGAAAGCCUGAUCCAGCCAUGCCGCGUGCAGGAUGAAGGCCUUCGGGUUGUAAACUGCUUUUGUACGGAACGAAAAGCCUCUUUCUAAUAAAGAGGGGUCAUGACGGUACCGUAAGAAUAAGCACCGGCUAACUACGUG
rnacentral:rRNA from 1 species